rnacentral:rRNA from 1 species
GCUUAUCACCAUUCCAGAUUGAAUAUACCCGAUCUCGUCUGAUUUCGGAAGUCAAGCAAUCUCGGGCUUGGUUAGUACU